AAACCAACAGGGAUUACCUCAGUAACGGCGAGUGAAGCGGUAACAGCUCAAAUUUGAAAUCUGGCCUCACGGUCCGAGUUGUAAUUUGUAGAGGAUGCUUCGGGCGUGGUCCGGUCUAAGUUCCUUGGAACAGGACGUCAUAGAGGGUGAGAAUCCCGUAUGUGACCGGGUGCCGCUGUCCAUGUGAAGCUCCUUCGACGAGUCGAGUUGUUUGGGAAUGCAGCUCAAAAUGGGUGGUAAAUUUCAUCUAAAGCUAAAUAUUGGCCAGAGACCGAUAGCGCACAAGUAGAGUGAUCGAAAGAUGAAAAGCACUUUGGAAAGAGAGUUAAACAGUACGUGAAAUUGUUGAAAGGGAAGCGCUUGCAACCAGACUUGCACGCGGUCGAUCAUCCUGCCUUCUGGCUGGUGCACUCGAUCGCGUUCAGGCCAGCAUCGGUUUUGGUGGUUGGAUAAAGGCUCUGGGAAUGUAGCUUCUCUCGGGGAGUGUUAUAGCCCAGGGUGCAAUGCAGCCUACCGGGACCGAGGACCGCGCUUCGGCUAGGAUGCUGGCGUAAUGGUUGUAAGCGAC
rnacentral:rRNA from 1 species